rnacentral:rRNA from 1 species
GACGAACGCUGGCGGCGUGCUUAACACAUGCAAGUCGAACGGAAAGGCCCUGCUUUUGUGGGGUGCUCGAGUGGCGAACGGGUGAGUAACACGUGAGUAACCUGCCCUUGACUUUGGGAUAACUUCGGGAAACUGGGGCUAAUACCGGAUAGGAGCUCCUGCUGCAUGGUGGGGGUUGGAAAGUUUCGGCGGUUGGGGAUGGACUCGCGGCUUAUCAGCUUGUUGGUGGGGUAGUGGCUUACCAAGGCUUUGGCGGGUAGCCGGCCUGAGAGGGUGACCGGGCACCUGGGGACUGAGAGACGGACCAGACGCGUACGGGAGGCAGCAGUGGGGACUAUUGCACAAUGGGCGGAAGCCUGAUGCAGCAACGCCGCGUGCGGGAUGCCGGCCUUCGGGUUGUGAACCGCUUUCGCCUGUGACGAAGCGUGAGUGACGGUAAUGGGUAAAGAAGCACCGGCUAACUACGUG